rnacentral:tRNA from 1 species
GCUCCCAUCGUCUAGUCCGGUCCAGGACACAUGGUUCUCAACCAUGUAACACCAGUUCGAAUCUGGUUGGGAGCA